AGCCUGAUGGAGCAACGCCGCGUGUGUGAUGAAGGUCUUCGGAUCGUAAAGCACUUUCGACCGGGAAGAAAAACCUUUGGCUAACAUCCAGGGGCCUGACGGUACCGGGAGAAGAAGCACCGGCUAACUCUGUGCCAGCAGCCGCGGUAAUACAGAGGGUGCAAGCGUUGUUCGGAAUUAUUGGGCGUAAAGCGCGUGUAGGCGGCUUGGCAAGUCAGAUGUGAAAGCCCUCGGUUUAACCGAGGAAGUGCGUCUGAAACUGCUGAGCUUGAGUCUCGGAGAGGAUGGCGGAAUUCCGCAAGUAGAGGUGAAAUUCGUAGAUAUGCGGAGGAACGCCGGUGGCGAAGGCGGCCAUCUGGACGAGUACUGACGCUGAGACGCGAAAGCGUGGGGAGCAAACAGGAUUAGAUACCCUGGUAGUCCACGCUGUAAACGAUGAGAACUAGGUGUCGUGGGUGUUGACCCCCGCGGUGCCGUAGCUAACGCAUUAAGUUCUCCGCCUGGGAAGUACGGCCGCAAGGCUAAAACUCAAAGGAAUUGACGGGGGCCCGCACAAGCGGUGGAGCAUGUGGUUUAAUUCGACCACGCGCAGAACCUUACCCAGACUUGACAUCUAUCAAAUCCGGCCCAAAAGUUGGAGUGCCCGCAAGGGAAUGGUAAGACAGGUGCUGCAUGGCUGUCAUCAGCUCGUGUCGUGAGAUGUUGGGUUAAGUCCCGCAACGAGCGCAACCCUCGCCUUUAGUUGCUCCGCAAGGAGAUCUCUAGAGGGACCGCCAGUGAUAAGCUGGAGGAAGGUGGGGAUGACGUCAAGUCCUCAUGGCCUUUAUGUCUGGGGCUACACACGUGCUACAAUGGCGAGUACAAAGCGUUGCCAACCCGCGAGGGGGAGCUAAUCGCAUAAAACUCGUCUCAGUUCGGAUCGGAGUCUGUAACUCGGCUCCGUGAAGUCGGAAUCGCUAGUAAUCGCAGAUCAGCACGCUGCGGUGAAUACGUUCCCGGGCCUUGUACACACCGCCCGUCACACCAUGGGAGUCAAUUGCUCCAGAAGUCACCACAAUACGGUGGUGCCCAAGGAGUGAUUGGUAACUGGGGUGAAGUCGUAACAAGGUAGCCGUAGGGGAACCUGCGGCUG
rnacentral:rRNA from 1 species